CCGUAGCCCAAGAGAUCGGGAUAACACCUGGAAACAGAUGCUAAUACCGGAUAACAACAGAUGAUGCCUAUCAACUGUUUAAAAGAUGGUUCUGCUAUCACUCUUGGAUGGACCUGCGGUGCAUUAGCUAGUUGGUAGGGUAACGGCCUACCAAGGCGAUGAUGCAUAGCCGAGUUGAGAGACUGAUCGGCCACAUUGGGACUGAGACACGGCCCAAACUCCUACGGGAGGCAGCAGNA
rnacentral:rRNA from 1 species